UAAACGUUUCACUCUUAAGAAGGCCUUUUAGGACUGGUUCCAAUAUUCUAUUCCUUUAGACCCUCAUCAUCAGCUAUAACCAAGCCACCUUGUUCUUUGCAUGUAAGCAAAUUAUAAUCAGCAUGUUUUGUAGACUUUGAGCGUUUCCCAUUAAUACUGAACUGCUUUGGCCAUUAGCCAUGCAUUUCGAGUAUAUGAUUAUGUAGAGAAUGGUAAAGCGGAGUGGUGUUUUUUUUUUUUUUUUUUUUUUUUUUUUUUUUUUUACUGUUGAUAGAAACGUAGUGAAAGGAAAUAUAAGGGUAAAAAUUAAUGGAUAAAGUAAUGAGACGUUUUGAAAGGAUUCUAACGAAAUUGUAUUUACAGAAAGUCCUUUGGUCCACCCUGAGAACACAGUAGCACCCAAAGAUCCAUACACCUCACCGAAAGGUUCAAGAUUUCGCCCAUCGACUGCCUCGUUCGGUUUCAUUAACGAUUUCAGUCUUGAAGAUGAUCUGGCAGCUUCUGGAAAAUCCUCACGCCCUCCUCACCCCUCGUUCUUUCAUGAAGGUAUUCUCGUACGACCCUACUAUGACAAAAAGGACCACCAUCGCUCAACCAAUGUUUAGUUUGGGAAACUAAAAUCCAAGGAUAUGAAUUAAUUGGAUUGAAUAGAAUGUUGUCAUAAAAGAAGUGGACAGGAGAAGCGACACCACUGUAUUUGUUUACAUUUUCAAACUACGUUUGGCUUGAAUGGAUUGGAGUAAAUCUCAUUAGCAACAGUGUACCAAGUUUGAGACUUUACAAGUGUAUGAAAUUGCAGUAAUCGUCCGUAUA